rnacentral:rRNA from 1 species
UACAGAGGUCCCAAGCGUUGUUCGGAUUCAUUGGGCGUAAAGGGUGCGUAGGCGGCGCGGUAAGUCGGAUGUGAAAUCUCGGGGGCUUAACUCCGAAACUGCAUUCGAUACUGCCGUGCUUGAGGACUGGAGAGGAGACUGGAAUUUACGGUGUAGCAGUGAAAUGCGUAGAUAUCGUAAGGAAGACCAGUGGCGAAGGCGGGUCUCUGGACAGUUCCUGACGCUGAGGCACGAAGGUCAGGGGAGCAAACGGG